rnacentral:hammerhead_ribozyme from 1 species
GUCCAGCUGAGGAGUUCCAAAUAGGACGAAACGCGCGUCCUGCAU